GCACCUAACUUCAUGGCAAAGCUAAAAUGACGUUGACACCAAAUAAGAAUCGUUCAUUUUCUCUUCAACACCGAUCAGAAUGUGCGCAAUUUUACGGAAUUUAUCCAAUUUAAACUUGGUUUAUCCAAAUGGUUGACGAUUUUCAACGAUUAAAAAACGAGAUUACUUUAAUUUGCAUCGUUUGGAUCGAUCUUCCAAAAUACAAAUUGCUUUUUCAAGAAACCUUCAAUAGGAGAAUUGAAUAAUAAGUUAGCAAGGUUUAGGAUGAAUUAAGAAAAUGAAACCAGACCAAGACAUUAGAAUAGAAAAAGGGAAGAAGUGGCACAUUUUGAAAGGCAAAGGAUGGAUGAGGGUACAUCAAAGAAGUUAAGUUUGAUUUGUCAUGUAUUAAACAGGAAAUUGUAAAUUAAUUGACAAUAAAAAACCGUUAAUAUUAA